AGGAAGAGGAAGAGGAGGAGGAGGAGGAAGAUAAAACCAGAAGAAGAAAUAGUAUCAGUAGUAGCUGCAGCAGUAGUUUGGUCUUUAUCCUGAAGACAAUAUGGGACUUCCAGUGGGAGUGGAGUAAAACAGCCAAUCAGAUGUAUCGUUGAAGGAGUCACCUGUACCUCUUGUAAAGCUACGUUUACUCCAUUGUCUAAGGAAACUCAGGUGGGGACAGCACUCAUUCAGCCAGACCUUGAUUGUCUUCUGUGUUCCUCCUGGAUUAAGAGCCCUGGAGUCAUCCACUGUCCACUCCGCAGACACACAGUCUUGAUUCUUCCCACUCUUGCAUCAAAGGGACGGAACAUAAAAAGAAGAGCCAAACUACUCGCUUGAGGCCACAGGGGUGUAAAGCAGCAGUCCACAUUGCUAGUCUGUGCUCUGCCAUCUCUGCCAUGGUGCCUCUGGUUUGCACAGCAAGGGUGAAGACCGGAGUGGUUUACGGUCAUGGCUUCCUUGUGCAGACCACCACAGUGAAGCAGCCCUUUGGACGUGCUUUUCCUUUUUAAUUGAUUCAUUGAUGUGUGUGGAGGUCAGAGGACAAGUUUUUGGUAGUCUGUUCUCUCCUUAUGGGUCCUGGGGAUUAAACUUCCUAGGUUCCCAGGCUUGGCAGCAAGCACCUUUACCCACUGAGUCAUCUCAUUGGCCUCCUGUUGUACUUUUCAUCCAACAUUCCAUUGCAACGUAUGGAACAAUUCAGUUAGGUGCUAGCAUAUUUCAACACUUCUGCUUUUGUCUAAGAUAGUAUGCACCUCAGGCUCAAUAUUGAGCAAAUAGGAACAAUUUAUAGCAGAAAUUUAAUUAGCAUCUUAUUUUCAUUCUAGAUAUUUUGAGGGCUACGUCCUAUUUUUUUGUGAUAGUAGUGUUUCCGUGUACCCAGAAACAUAGACUUUUUUUCCAAAAUAAAUUUAAGUAGAAUAAAUUAGGUAAAAGAACACUGAUAUCAACUUGAUAAUUAAUUUAACCGGGUUGAGAGACCCCUAGGCUAUUAGUAAAGCACACCUCGGGGUGUGUCUGCUGGGGUGUGUCUAGAGGACUAGCUGAUAGGAUAAGAACUGCCUUAGAUGUGGGUAGCACUACUCCCUAGGCUGGGCACAGGUGGAAGAAAGGGGGAGAAGCAGCGUGUCUGUUUCCUGGCUGCAACGAGGUGAGCAGGACUCUUCCAUUCCACACUCCUCCCACCACAACAUUCUGUCCUAUCUCAGGUCCAGAGAAAUGGAAGCAACAGACCAUGGUCAGAAACAUAGGAACCUGUGAGCAGAAAUAAAUCUUCCUACCACCAGUCUCUCACAGGCAUUUGUGACAAAAAGUACCAUGAACACUCCCACACACAUAGGAGUAAUGGUGGUUCUGAGAAAUGGAAGCAACUCACCCAAGGAAGCCACUCUGAUGGCUGACCUCUGGAAAGAUGUUGUUUACCUCCUCACCCUCACCAUGGACCACCCCACUGCCCUUACCUAAGAGUAACGGCAGGCAGCUUCUCACUUAAGUAUAGUUUCUGUUCACUGGUGGCCAAAUCUCUGUAGCAAGCUUGCUGCAGACCCCUAAUGCCUUAAGUCAGACGUUAACUUUAGUCUCCAUUGAUCAGACUGGCAUAGUCUUUGGCUGUCCACUGGAUAGCCUAUCUAGGCUUCAAGAAAGAAACACGGCAAAAGGCAUGUAACUAGUAAGUCAUGACAGAGCACACCUAAGACACUGGGUUAUUUUGAGAAAUCUUACAAUAGAUGUUUUGUUUUCAGAUAGGGUCUUAUGCAUCCCAGACUGGUCUUGAACUCAUGAGAAGCUGAGGAUGACCUUGAACUUUUGAUCCUCCUUGCCUGAAACAGCCUGAGUGCUUAGACUACACUGCCCAGUGGUUAGGGUUCUGAAAUGGGCCUGCAUCCUACCAGCUGAGCUCCAGCCCCUCCAGUUGGCAUCUUAAAACUAGUAUAUACUCUAUUAUUAAAUGUAUCGACUACUCCUAUUUUCAUCUAACUUUCUUCCCUAAAACUCUAAUCCCCAGUUUGUAUGAUGAUGCAGUGCCUGCCCUCCUGUCCUAAGACAGAAAUGUAUUCAUUAGAUUUGUGAAAAGUGGAUGUAUAUGGUGGCCUUUAGAAACAUUAUUAUGAGUUCUUCUAAAUAUAGACAAAAGCAAUAAAAACUCCCAACUCCAUGUGUAUCUUAAAAGACAUCAUUGUCACAUAAAAUAAUUCUGCCUGUGUAUCCCCAAGGAACUGAAAAGCACAUUAUAGUCAUUGUAACCCUGCUGGGCAGAGACUGUAUCUUCUCUAUUCUUUGUUAUGCCUGAUGCUAUCUAUUCAGCAUAUUAAUAAAAAAAAGAAAUCUGUAUCUAA